rnacentral:rRNA from 1 species
AGAUUGAACGCUGGCGGCAUGCCUUACACAUGCAAGUCGAACGGCAGCGCGGACUUCGGUCUGGCGGCGAGUGGCGAACGGGUGAGUAAUGUAUCGGAACGUGCCCUAGAGUGGGGGAUAACGUAGCGAAAGUUACGCUAAUACCGCAUACGAUCUACGGAUGAAAGUGGGGGACCGCAAGGCCUCACGCUCAUGGAGCGGCCGAUAUCUGAUUAGCUAGUUGGUAGGGUAAAAGCCUACCAAGGCGACGAUCAGUAGCUGGUCUGAGAGGACGACCAGCCACACUGGGACUGAGACACGGCCCAGACUCCUACGGGAGGCAGCAGUGGGGAAUUUUGGACAAUGGGGGAAACCCUGAUCCAGCAAUGCCGCGUGUGUGAAGAAGGCCUUCGGGUUGUAAAGCACUUUUGUCAGGAACGAAACGGUGGGGGCUAAUAUCCUCUGCUAAUGACGGUACCUGAAGAAUAAGCACCGGCUAACUACGUGCCAGCAGCCGCGGUAAUACGUAGGGUGCAAGCGUUAAUCGGAAUUACUGGGCGUAAAGCGUGCGCAGGCGGUUGUGCAAGACAGAUGUGAAAUCCCCGGGCUUAACCUGGGAAUUGCAUUUGUGACUGCACGGCUAGAGUGUGUCAGAGGGGGGUAGAAUUCCACGUGUAGCAGUGAAAUGCGUAGAUAUGUGGAGGAAUACCGAUGGCGAAGGCAGCCCCCUGGGAUAACACUGACGCUCAUGCACGAAAGCGUGGGGAGCAAACAGGAUUAGAUACCCUGGUAGUCCACGCCCUAAACGAUGUCUACUAGUUGUCGGGUCUUAAUUGACUUGGUAACGCAGCUAACGCGUGAAGUAGACCGCCUGGGGAGUACGGUCGCAAGAUUAAAACUCAAAGGAAUUGACGGGGACCCGCACAAGCGGUGGAUGAUGUGGAUUAAUUCGAUGCAACGCGAAAAACCUUACCUACCCUUGACAUGUACGGAACCCUGCUGAGAGGUGGGGGUGCUCGAAAGAGAGCCGUAACACAGGUGCUGCAUGGCUGUCGUCAGCUCGUGUCGUGAGAUGUUGGGUUAAGUCCCGCAACGAGCGCAACCCUUGUCAUUAGUUGCUACGAAAGGGCACUCUAAUGAGACUGCCGGUGACAAACCGGAGGAAGGUGGGGAUGACGUCAAGUCCUCAUGGCCCUUAUGGGUAGGGCUUCACACGUCAUACAAUGGUACAUACAGAGGGCCGCCAACCCGCGAGGGGGAGCUAAUCCCAGAAAGUGUAUCGUAGUCCGGACUGUAGUCUGCAACUCGACUACAUGAAGUUGGAAUCGCUAGUAUCGCGGAUCAGCAUGUCGCGGUGAAUACGUUCCCGGGUCUUGUACACACCGCCCGUCACACCAUGGGAGCGGGUUUUACCAGAAGUAGGUAGCUUAACCGCAAGGAGGGCGCUUACCACGGUAGGAUUCGUGACUGGGGUGAAGUCGAAACAAGGUAGCCGUAUCGGAAGGUGCGGCUG